rnacentral:rRNA from 1 species
UACGGAGGAUGCGAGCGUUAUCCGGAUUUAUUGGGUUUAAAGGGUGCGUAGGCGGACUGUUAAGUCAGCGGUAAAAGCCCGGGGCUCAACCCCGGCGAGCCGUUGAAACUGGCGGGCUGGAGUUGGAGAGAAGUACGCGGAAUGCGUGGUGUAGCGGUGAAAUGCAUAGAUAUCACGCAGAACCCCGAUUGCGAAGGCAGCAUACCGGUGCACAACUGACGCUCAGGCACGAAAGCGUGGGUAGCAAACAGG